rnacentral:rRNA from 1 species
UACAGAGGGUGCAAGCGUUAAUCGGAAUUACUGGGCGUAAAGCGUGCGCAGUCGGUUAUUUAAGUCGGGUGUGAAAGCCCCGGGCUCAACCUGGGAAUUGCAUUCGAUACUGGAUAGCUAGAGUUCGGCAGAGGGAAGCGGAAUUUCCGGUGUAGCGGUGAAAUGCGUAGAUAUCGGAAGGAACAUCAGUGGCGAAAGCGGCUUCCUGGACCAGAACUGACGAUCAGGCACGAAAGCGUGGGGAGCAAACAGG